rnacentral:misc_RNA from 1 species
UCCCGCACGUACAGAUGGACACGAAUAGGCUUCGGCUUAGCGUCUUAGCAGGCGAUUACUCCACUGCUCUCGAAGCGAGUAGUGGUAUUUCGCGAAUUGUAAUUUCAGCACGAGCGGGGUUAAAUCCUUUGCAGACGACUUAGAUGUGCGAAAGGGUCCUGUAAGCAGUAGAGUAGCCUUGUUGUUACGAUCUGCUGAGGGUAAGCCCUCCUUCGCCUCGAUUUCCUCAUGAACUCCAGCGGCCGACGGCCGCGAGCACACGAGGGUUAGGGGACUGCCGCGGGCAGGGACUUGAGGGGCCGCGCCGACGAUUCGGUGCGGCCAAGUCUCGUCUCGACGACGCAAGUACCCUGGAAAGGAUAUUGCGGACGGCCGUGACGGCCAAGUGCGUGUCCGCGACGCCAGGUACCCUGGAAGGGACGCGGUCGAGGCCCGAGACGUGCAACGCAGAACGAAGUGCCCGAGUGCGCCGGGUACCCUGCAAUAGGCUUUAGAGGGCGAGGCGCCAGGUACCCCGGAAAGGGCCUGGGGUGGCCAAGUACCCUGGAGAGCGAUUCCCUAGUACCCUGGAAAGGAGAUGGAUGCUGAGCCCCCUGGAAUGGCCAAGUACCCUGGAGCAGAAUUCCCGAGUACCCCGGAAAGCGAUUCCCAAGUACCCUGGAGCAGAAUUCCCGAGUACCCCGGAAAGCGAUUCCCAGGUACCCUGGAAAGCAAUUCCUACGCACCCUGGAGCAGAAUUCCCGAGUACCCCGGAAAGCGAUUCCCAAGUACCCUGGAAAGCAGUUCCCAAGUACCCUGGAGCAGAAUUCCCAGGUACCCUGGAAAGCAAUUCCUACGCACCCUGGAGCAGAAUUCCCGAGUACCCCGGAAAGCGAUUCCCAAGUACCCUGGAAAGCAAUUCCUACGCACCCUAGGGCGGAAUUCCCAGGUACCCUGGAAAGCAAUUCCUACGCACCCUAGGGCGGAAUUCCCAAGUACCCUAGGGUAGAAGCCUUAAGUACCCUAUAAAGCAGUCUUUAGGUACCUUAGAAAGGAGAUCCUAAGUGUAAAUAUUUUUUCGGUAAAUAAAAUAGACAUAGAAGUAGCUGUAGUAGAGAAGUAGUAGGAUUAGAAGCGUUACUUAUACUAAGGCCUAUAUUAUAAAACUGUUAAAUAGGGUACUAGAAAAUAAAAGAGUUAUUAAGGGACUAUACAAAGGAGGUUAGAUUAAGAGGGGAGCUUUUUCUUAAAAGGUAAGUAGUAUUCUACUUUUAUACAGUCACCUCUCUUAAUAAGGGUAGAAGAUAAGAUAGAAAUAGGCUAUCUAUACAGGUAAGGAUAUAUAGUAACGCCUACAUAGUAUAAAGAAUAGAGUGUCUAAGUAUAGUAGUAAAAGUAAAUAGUACUAAGACUAGAAUAAUAUAUACUUAUAUAUUAGAUUCUAAGACGUAUAUACAAGAGAGAAGCUUUAAUGCUUAUAGUAGACUAUAGGUUUAUAAAGAAUAGAGAUAAGUAAAGACGGAGAUAAAGGCAGACCUCUAAAGGAAAGCUACUUUAUGGAAAGGAAGUCUAGGUACCCUAGGAAGGCCAAGUACCCUGGAAAGAACGUCCUAGGUACCCUGGAAAGGCCAAGUACCCUGGAAAAAGUCCCAGGUACCCUGGAAAGGCCAAGUACCCUGGAAAAAGUCCCAGGUACCCUGGAAAGGCCAAGUACCCUGGAAAAAGUCCCAGGUACCCUGGAAAGGCCAAGUACCCUGGAAAAAGUCCCAGGUACCCUGGAAAGGCCAAGUACCCUGGAAAAAGUCCCAGGUACCCUGGAAAGGCCAAGUACCCUGGAAAAAGUCCCAGGUACCCUGGAAAGGCCAAGUACCCUGGAAAAAGUCCCAGGUACCCUGGAAAGGCCAAGUACCCUGGAAAAAGUCCCAGGUACCCUGGAAAGGCCAAGUACCCUGGAAAAAGUCCCAGGUACCCUGGAAAGGGACUUUCUACCUUGGCGCCUAGGCUAUAAGUAGGUAGUAUAGGGCUGUAGAGCGCCUCUAGGGGAGCCUAGCGCACCAGGCCCUAUAGCUAUAGCGCCUACAGCGGGCGAGAAAACCGCUGCGGAAGUUCAAAAAACCGGCGGUUGGACUGCGGGGUGGGCGCCCGCGGGCUGCCCGGCACGGCGGGCUUAUAGAGCUCGCUGCGGCGGUUACAGCGCCGUAAGGCCCUAUACGGUAGGCACUAUAGCGCUGGAGAUACGGCGGCCCAAAGCCGCAGGUACCCUGGAAGGCAAUUGUCAAGUACCCUGGAAGGGAAAAAGAGGUGGGCCGCAGGGCGCCGCCGAGCAGCUGGUGGCGGCGACGACGUGGGCGGUCGACGGGCAUACCUGGGUUUUGCGUGCGGGAUCGGAUAAGGUUUUGGUGGCCGUGAGUCGAUUUUUUUGUUUUCCCAUACAAAUCUUUUUUUCGGGAAAUGUUUUUUCGGGACAGAAGCAGGUGGAGCGGGGCCGGGGCGCAAAAAGUGUCGCAGGGCCUAUGAGAAGAGAGCGAGUGCAGCCAACCGGCGGCACAGCGCAACUGCUCCACCCGCUGAGGGUGCGCGCUGUAGAAAUACAGCGCAACCGUCCCAUAUCUUAAUGACUGCUGCGUGGCGUCUCUCUGAACAGCCUCGCAGGUAUCUUCCUCGGUGGCGGGGAGUUCGUAGCAGCAGUCGACGCCCACUGUGGUGCACCGCUAAGGCGGCGCAUCAUCCUGGGAGUGCCCGGAGGGUUUGGGGGUCACGAGCCCCUAGACCCGAAGGAUGGGUUCUGUGGAUGAAUGGCCGUUGGCUAUACUUACACUGAGCAUCGGGAGAGAAACGCCCGCGGUCGGACGCUGAAUAGCUGAAGCCGCGGGGCCAGUUGCUCCUCUUGGGACCCCCCAACCACGCAACCCCCCCGGGGGCACAGCGCGGUGAACGGGGUCCUGGGGAAUUCAGAGGGGGAAAGCGGAAGCUUCCUCUGCGCCUACGGCCUAGCCGGACGGCCGCAGGGGGGGCGCGAGCGCUGUUUCGGCAGCGUGAGCGAUUCCGGUGACUAAAACGCUUCGGCCGCUGCUUGCAGCGCCGAUGGCCGGCUCACCCCGGCGCACGAU